rnacentral:rRNA from 1 species
AGGGUUUGAUCCUGGCUCAGAACGUACGCUGGCGGCACGCCUUAUACAUGCAAGUCGAACGCAGUAGCAAUACUGAGUGGCAAACGGGUGAGUAUAAUGUGGGUAUCUGCCUUUUGGUUUGGAAUAACAUGAGGAAACUUGUGCUAAUACCGGAUAAGCCUUCACAGGGAAAGUUUUAUACGCCGAAAGAUGAGCCCGCACUUGAUUAGUUUGUUGGUGAGGUAAUGGCUCACCAAGACAAUUAUCAAUAGCUGGUCUGAGAGGACGAUCAGCCACAUUGGGACUGAGACACGGCCCAGACUCCUACGGGAGGCAGCAGUAAGGAAUCUUGCACAGUGGAGGAAACUCUGAUGCAGCGAUGCCGCGUGAGUGAAGAAGGCCUUUGGGUUGUAAAGCUCUUUCGUCGGGGAAGAAAAUGACUGUACCCGAAUAAGAAGGUCCGGCUAACUUCGUGCCAGCCGCCGCGGUAAUUC